GGCCGUUAAGCUCAGUUGACAGAGCGUCGUGCUAAUAACGCGAAUGUCGUGGGUUCUAUACCUCCAAUGGCCA
rnacentral:tRNA from 1 species